AUAAAACCGUUUUGGGUAGGUACCAUAUCUGUGUAGAAUACUUGUCAUUAGGUAUUCAAACUCGCGAUCAUUCCGUUACGGUAAUUCAUUAAAGAAGUUUCAUUCUAAACGCUUACACAGUAAUCACUCAUAGUUUUACAUAAAUGAGUUAUUAAAUCCAUAGUUCCACAAUAUGGCUCUCGAUUUACAUCGUAAGUACAUCGAGA